rnacentral:rRNA from 1 species
UUCGUAGGCGGUGCGGCAAGUUGGGAGUGAAAUCUCUGGGCUUAACCCAGAGGCUGCUUCCAAAACUGCUGUGCUUGAGUGUGGGAGAGGCGCGUGGAAUUGCAGGUGUAGCGGUGAAAUGCGUAGAUAUCUGCAGGAACACCCGUGGCGAAAGCGGCGCGCUGGACCACAACUGACGCUGAGGGAACGAAAGCUAGGGGAGCAAACAGGAUUAGAUACCCUGGUAGUCCUAGCCCUAAACGAUCAGGACUUGGGGUGCCGCCCGUUCGGGCGUCGUCCCGGAGCUAACGCGUUAAGUCCUGCACCUGGGGAGUACGGUCGCAAGACUGAA